UUUAAUGGAGAGUUUGAUCCUGGCUCAGGACGAACGCUGGCGGCGUGCCUAAUACAUGCAAGUCGAGCGGGG
rnacentral:rRNA from 3 species